UGGGGAAUAUUGGACAAUGGGCGAAAGCCUGAUCCAGCAAUACCGCGUGUGUGAAGAAGGCCUGCGGGUUGUAAAGCACUUUCAGUAGGGAAGAAAAGCCUAGGGUUAAUAACCCUGGGUCUUGACGUUACCUACAGAAGAAGCACCGGCUAACUCAGUGCCAGCAGCCGCGGUAAUACUGAGGGUGCAAGCGUUAAUCGGAAUUACUGGGCGUAAAGCGCGCGUAGGCGGCCUGUUAAGUCAGAUGUGAAAGCCCUGGGCUCAACCUGGGAACUGCAUUUGAUACUGGCAAGCUAGAGUGUGGUAGAGGGAAGUGGAAUUCCGGGUGUAGCGGUGAAAUGCGUAGAUAUCCGGAGGAACAUCAGUGGCGAAGGCGGCUUCCUGGACCAACACUGACGCUGAGGUGCGAAAGCGUGGGUAGCAAACA
rnacentral:rRNA from 1 species